rnacentral:rRNA from 1 species
UGGACCAGUGAGCCGCCUUCGCCACUGGUGUUCCUCCGAAUAUCUACGAAUUUCACCUCUACACUCGGAAUUCCACUCACCUCUUCCAUACUCUAGACACCCAGUAUCAAAGGCAGUUCCGGGGUUGAGCCCCGGGAUUUCACCCCUGACUUAAAUGUCCGCCUACGUGCGCUUUACGCCCAGUAAUUCCGAACAACGCUAGCCCCCUUCGUAUUACCGCGGCUGCUGGCACGAAGUUAGCCGGGGCUUCUUCUCCGGUUACCGUCAUUAUCUUCACCGGUGAAAGAGCUUUACAACCCUAGGGCCUUCAUCACUCACGCGGCAUGGCUGGAUCAGGCUUGCGCCCAUUGUCCAAUAUUCCCCACUGCUGCCUCCCGUAGGAGUUUGGGCCGUGUCUCAGUCCCAAUGUGGCUGAUCAUCCUCUCAGACCAGCUAUGGAUCGUCGCCUUGGUAGGCCUUUACCCCACCAACUAGCUAAUCCAACGCGGGCUCAUCCUUUCCCGAUAAAUCUUUCCCCCGAAGGGCUUAUACGGUAUUAGCACAAGUUUCCCUGCGUUAUUCCGUAGAAAAGGGUAGAUUCCCACGCGUUACUCACCCGUCUGCCGCUCCCCUUGCGGGGCGCUCGACUUGCAUGUGUUAAGCCUGCCGCCAGCGUUCGU